AUUGAGGUCUGCAACUCGACCUCAUGAAGCCGGAAUCGCUAGUAAUCGCGGAUCAGCAAUUGCCGCGGUGAAUACGUUCUCAAGUCUUGUACUCACCGCCCGUCAACUCAAGGGAGCUGGGAGUACCCGAAGUCUCGACUUUGUCGGGCCGAAGGUAAGCUCAGUGACAGGGAGUAAGUCGUAACAAGGCACGGGUAGCGGAAGCUGCUCGUGGAAUAUUUCAAGG
rfam:Candidatus Taylorbacteria bacterium RIFCSPHIGHO2_01_FTLL_46_22b rifcsphigho2_01_scaffold_237, whole genome shotgun sequence.